CCGGGAACCCCGAACAUCCCCUUUCUCUACUCUUUCCCUUUGGAGUCUAUAGAGGGAGAAGCAGAGCCUAAGGCUUCAUCAGUUUGAAUACUGGCUGGGGCUGGGCAAGUUAGUGGCUCAAAGUGUUGAAUCUGUCCCUAAAGCAGGGACAGAAAUGGAGGCUCAGGAGGUAGAGGUGGCAGUGGGCGUGCAGGAGAAGCUGUAGGUCAGGAGGUAGAGGUGGCAGUGGGCGUGCAGGAGAACUGUAGGUCAGAGUGGAGAGGUGGCAGUGGGCGUGCAGGAGAAGCUGUAGGUCAGGAGGUAGAGGUGGCAGUGGGCGUGCAGGAGAAGGUGUAGGUCAGGGGGUAGAGGUGGCAGUGGGCGUGCAGGAGAAGCUGUAGGUCGGGAGGCAGAGGUGGCAGUGGGCGUGCAGGAGAAGCUGUAGGUCGGAGAGGGUGCAGAGUGGAGAACAGAUGAGCUGGAGUCACACCAUGCCCUAUACCCAGCCAGAGGCCGAAGUGAGCCUGUCACGGUAAUGCCACUGCCUGCUUGAUUCCCUCCCAUGCCUAGCCUGGGUUCUUCAUGAUCCCUGAGGCCCUCUUUGAUGUCAUCCCGCUGCCUCAAAACCUGUGUGUGCUGGUGGCUCCCUCUGCUUUCCUUCCAGAUGACUCCUUCGCUUCAGCUCAAAUGUCACCUUUGGCUGUUAAAAUCCUUUCCGGAGGAAGUUGUAAACAAUGCCUACCCCUCCUCCCGAGGUCUCUGAUUCCACUCCAGGGAAGAUUGCUCUGGGGGAGCCAAUGAGUUUGUUGGGAUUACUUCCAGAGCAUAGGUGAGGGGUUAGUUACUUGAAUAUGAGUGCUGCCCACCAAAAGACCGCACUGAAAAGUCUUUACCCAGCAGGGGUGAUGGU
rnacentral:lncRNA from 1 species